CGAGGCGCGGUGGAGGCGGACCGGCCAGGGGGAAGGGGCACUUCCGGAGUCCAGACGCUGCGGGCGGAGGGAAGAGCCGAGGAAGUGAUUCUGGAUGGCGGGUCCCAGGAGAGGCGCCUGUGCACCGGGCGAUACCCAUCCAGGAAAUGAGUUUUUGUGUGUUUCGUUGAUCUGAGAACAAAGAAGGUAAACAUCAGAGGUCACACCAGAGCUGAUGCAACCGGAGGAACCCACUCCACCUCAGCCUGUGCCCUGCGCUCUGUCUGAAAAGGAAACACCCAGACAUGUGGAAGCCAGCCUGCAGCUCCAAGUGUGACGGCUUGUUGGGAUCAAAAGCCUCCUGCUGAAGAGAGUUCCGGGAGAAGCCUUUGCCGGCCUGGACCUCCCCUGGCCUGAGAGCUUGUGGGGAAACCAUCCAGGCCAGCCUGUCACUGGACUGUUCCGUCGGGGGCACCCCUGGCAAAUAGGGAAGUCCCUGUGCUCGCACACCUCAGGCGGUGGAAGGCUCACCCCUCUAAGGCGGCCUGCUCCACCGUCUAUUCAUGGCACAGCCCCUGAAGCUUCAACAAACAGAAGCUCCUACCCUGUGGACAUAAGGGCCACGUGCUGACCUGACCAGCCCGGGGAGGCCUGCGUGGCGGUCUUGCAAACAUAAAGACCUAAAGUCACCACAAAGGAUGUCUGAAAUUAAAACUUCACCUAAAAGCAGC